AGUAACGCGUGAGCAAUCUGCCUUUAAGAGGGGGAUAACAGUCGGAAACGGCUGCUAAUACCGCAUAAAGCAUUGAAACCGCAUGAUUUUGAUGCCAAAGGAGCAAUCCGCUUUUAGAUGAGCUCGCGUCUGAUUAGCUGGUUGGCGGGGUAACGGCCCACCAAGGCGACGAUCGGUAGCCGGACUGAGAGGUUGAACGGCCACAUUGGGACUGAGACACGGCCCAG
rnacentral:rRNA from 1 species